AUUAUACUGCCUCUCCUCUACAGUAAGCUAUAGUAAGUGGGCUAUUCCUACUGGGCAUUGCUAUAAGUAAGGUUAAAAAAUAGAAAAAAGGGGGAAAUAAAGGUGGGGAGGGGAAUUGAGGAGGAAGAGGAGGGGAGCUGACGCACAGAUGAGAAAUCAUAUUAUGCGCAACCAGAGAAGUCGUCUGAAUAUCACCGAAAGAGGAGACCUUCGUAUGUUCCUUACGAAAAU